AUUCCAGCUCCAAUAGCGUAUAUUAAAGUUGUUGCAGUUAAAACGCUCGUAGUCGGAUUUCGGGGCGGGCCGACCGGUCUGCCGAUGGGUAUGCACUGGCCGGCGCGUCCUUCCUUCCGGAGACCGCGCCUACUCUUAGCUGAGCGGGCGCGGGAGACGGAUCGUUUACUUUGAAAAAAUCAGAGUGUUUCAAGCAGGCAGCUCGCUCUUGCAUGGAUUAGCAUGGGAUAAUGAAAUAGGACUUUGGUGCUAUUUUGUUGGUUUCGAACACCGAAGUAAUGAUUAACAGGGACAGUCAGGGGCACUCGUAUUCCGCCGAGAGAGGUGAAAUUCUCAGACCAGCGGAAGACGAACCACUGCGAAAGCAUUUGCCAGGGAUGUUUUCAUCG
rnacentral:rRNA from 1 species